rnacentral:rRNA from 1 species
GACGUAGGAGGCGAGCGUUAUCCGGAUUCACUGGGCGUAAAGCGCAUGUAGGCGGUUGGACAAGUCGUGUGUUAAAGCCCCUGGCUCAACUGGGGGAGGUCAUGCGAGACUGUGCGACUUGAGGGCAAGAGAGGCACGUGGAAUUCCGGGUGUAGUGGUGGAAUGCGUAGAGAUCCGGAGGAACACCAGCGGCGAAGGCGGCGUCCUGGACUGGUACUGACGCUCAGGAGCGAAAGCGUGGGGAGCGAUCCGG